CCUACGAGGAUGUAGUAGAGAGUUUCCUCCAUGGGGCAGUUUCUCGUUCUUGCGGCAGAGAGGAGGGCAAAACCGUCAUCUUACAAAUUCAGAGUUCGGCAACUUUCUCACGAAUUACUUGUUCAUCGCUCUUUCACCAAAACAAAAAAAAAAAAAAAACAAGAAACAAAACGAACAACAAAAUUUUUUCAGUUUGUCAAUACCGUUGUCUUAUCCCCCAUCUCGACGUUCUUAAUUUCAUCUCUGCCUCUUCUCUCAAUCCUUAAAGUUGGCUCUCUCUUUGUUUCUAUGCAAUGAUUUUUUAUUUUUCCCUCGAUGAAGUGUUGUUUCCUUGCGACGUUCAAACACUUUUCUUUAUGCGUCUUUUUUGUGAUUUUCGAAUAUCAAAGACGUCAUUAACUGUGACUUGAAAUCCUUGCUGCUCUUGUUUGAGAACUAAUUGCAGCUUGUCAGUCCCAGCAACUUAUUUGCAGAAAAUGGAAAAUAUGGAUAUUGAUAAUUGUGAUGAAAGCAACGGAGGCACAUCUAUUUAAAGGCAUAAUGGUCUUUCUCUUAGGCCAAUAUUGCCUGAGGAGCCCAGUGAAGGUUUACCAUAUGCUCCAGUAAAUUUUCCUCAACCAGGAGAUAUCUGACGCUGGAAGGUGGGGAAAAAUGUUGCAAAUAAUGGUUAUUUCUUGGAUAGGUAUCUGUACCUUCCAAAGCCCCUUUCCCUUUUGGACAAUCAAUUGGGUACGAAACAUAUUUUUGCAAGCAAACUUUCCGUUGGAAGAUAUAUUUCCGCAACAUUCCCUGAUGUGGAUGUUGAGGCAUUUUUUGCUUCAUUUAGCUGGAAGAUCCCUUCGAAACAGCUGAAAUUAACAAAUGGCAAUGUAGUGGAGCAGACACUUUUUACAAUACUUCCUGAGAAGAUAGAAGAACUUUCAGUGUCUGAUUCCCAGUCUAGUGGUGUGGCCUGCAAGGCUGGAAAUAGGGCAUGCAAUAGUCUGGUGGCUGAAAAAGAAAAUCCACUUUGAACUCUCAUGCCUUGUGACAUUUGCUGUAGUGAACCUCAUUUCUGCCAUGAGUGCUAUUGCAUUCUCUGUUGCAAGACCAUAAACUUGAAACAUGAAGGAUAUAGAUACCUGAAAUGUGAGGCAAUGGUUGGCUAAGAUUACAUAUGUGGGCAUGUUACUCGUGUGAACUAUGCUCUUAGAUCUUACAUGGCUGCAACAAUGGGAGGAAGUAUUGGAUUGGAUGCUGAGUGCUAUUGCCGGCGUUGUGAUUCACGGACAGAUCUGGUCAAGCGGGUUGUAGAGCUUCUAGAAAUCUGUGAAUCAAUUAAUUCGAGAGAUGAUGUUGAGAAGGUCUUGAAUGUUUGUUUUUGUGUCUUACGUAAUUCACAGAAAGGCCGUGUAAAGGAGUUGCUGAACCACAUUGAGUUGGCCGCCAUAAAGUUUAAAUUCGAAACAUCUCUAGAAGAUAUCUGGAAAAUAGAUGAGAGUGACUAAACUGCUUGCACAGGAGCUCAUGAUGGAGAGACCACACUGGACGCGAAGCACCAAGGCUCUCUGGACUUACCAUCAAUUUUCCAUAUACCUAUCAAUUAUCAGAAUGAAUCACAGAAACUUGGGAAUGAAGUUUAUCAUGUUCUUCAAGCACUAAAACAUUCGUAGGAGACUGAAUAUAAAAUUUCAGACGAAAGGUUUUUUUCUCAGCAGAAUUACCUUAAUAAUCUGUAUCAGCAACCUGAGCAAGAGAAGGCUGAAUUGUCACACUGCAGAUCAACUGCUGGAGCAGAUGACUUACCAAGUACUUUGUUGAAGAGAUCUGAACAGAUAAUAUGCAAGGUCAAGAAACUCAAGGAAAUGGAAGAAGUGGCCAAGGGAUUUGGAAGAACCUCUAAAGGUGUUCUGAAGGAACACUUUGGUCUGGAAAGUGGGGAUUGAUUAACCUUUUUCUGUUAUGAUGAACCAAAUUUGUCAGCUUUUACACCCAAUUUUGCAGCUGAACUUAUCAACCAAUCAACCAUACAUUUUCUCAAGUCUAAUCCUCUGGUGGUUGUCUGAGAAAGCAUUCGCACAUGCCAACUUUGACAUCAUACAGUAGAUGAUGGAGGUUAGAUUAGUUCACCCAAAUGCAUCAGUGAUUGUGCUUAUUGAAGCUAGUAAGCUCAGAUGUGAGAUUAAAAAUAAUGGAAGAGGUUGAUAUAAGCUGUGCAAAGGAAUACUUCUUGAGAAUUAUUGGCUUAGAAAUUGGCACCUGAAAAAUUCCACCUUACACUAAUUGAUCAUGAUUUGAAAUGGUGUUACCAACAUACUUUUGUACAGCCCGCAAACUAUUUCCCCUGGUGAAUGUUGAAGGAAGUAGAAUGCAUGAAUGUGUUUAAAUUUUCUUGUUUGACAGUUUGGAAGUUUGGGUACCAAGCAACCUAACUGUUGGUUGUUUAGUGUAUAGUUGCUACCAUGCUAUUGAUAAGUUGCUUGGUGUUUUUGCAUGAUCUGACGAGCUAUUGGUCAGAACUGCCAGAAACUCUGGUCUGUUAUGAGCAAUUCAUUCAAUGAGUUACUGUUCAGAACUGCUAGAAAUUGUGAUUUACUAUGAGAAAUUCAUUCAAGGAA